CAGUAGCCACGGUAAUACGUAGGUGGCAAGCGUUGUCCGGAAUUAUUGGGCGUAAAGGGCUCGCAGGCGGUUUCUUAAGUCUGAUGUGAAAGCCCCCGGCUCAACCGGGGAGGGUCAUUGGAAACUGGGAAACUUGGGUGCAGAAGAGGAGAGUGGAAUUCCACGUGUAGCGGUGAAAUGCGUAGAGAUGUGGAGGAACACCAGUGGCGAAGGCGACUCUCUGGUCUGUAACUGACGCUGAGGAGCGAAAGCGUGGGGAGCGAACAGGAUUAGAUACCCCCGUAGUCCCUGUCUCUUAUAC
rnacentral:rRNA from 1 species